rfam:Canis lupus familiaris chromosome 6, whole genome shotgun sequence.
GGGGGGAAAUCGGAUCCUGGGCUGUGUCCGCCGGCGCCCUGGGCUCCUAGGCCUGCGCUGUUGGAAUCGCGCUCCUGGCCGUGCAGCCCCCU